rfam:Dipodomys ordii contig_39902, whole genome shotgun sequence.
GGUGGCUCAGUGGUAGAGUGCUUGCCUUGCAUGCAAGAGGCCCUGGGUUCGAUUCCUCAGCACCA